rnacentral:rRNA from 1 species
GUCAGGUACUGCCAUGACGUACAUUGCGAUUUCAGUUUUCAUUAAUGUCGCAGUUUUUAUUUUCUCACUGUAGCUUCAUAUAAAAUUAGUGUUGACAUGCUCAUUUUGCAGAAUGAGUAAAAAUGGUAGGUUGGUAGAAUCAUAACCUGUGACUGUGUGCCUUAAGAAGUUCUUGCCAUUAUCGUUAAAUAAUAUAAUGUUUAGGGCCAGUUUAGACGUGUCGACGAAAAAUAUGAGCUGCAUCGUCUAUCAGUCCUAGAAGCUCUGAUCUUCGUCUGGCAUUGAACCGAGCUCAUCUGUCUGGGUAUGGCCGUGCCGUGUGCCGUGUGCUGCAGCUGGGCAGCGAGGACAGGCGACCACAGGCAGAUGGCAUCAGUGGCAAUGGCAACAUGUGCGGUGCACAGCGCGAGGAGUUCAGUAAGGUGGGCACUGCCUCCCCACCGGCGUUCCAGGACGUGCGACCCUGAGCAGCUUUUGAGGAGCUUCCCCUCCGCUCCUGCUCUUUCUCUUGUCAAUUACUACAUAUAAAUGCACUUGAUCGGUGUUGAUUUUUUUUGCUAUCAUCAUCUUCUCUUGAGGAUAUUAUUGCCUUUCUUGGAGAUUAUAGUGAUGAUAGAAUUCUUAUUCCAUAUUAUUCAUCAUGCUAUAUAGUAAUGCAAUGCAUUCUUUUUUUCCUUUGGAUGAUUUUUCUCGAAGUAACUUGGUCAAUAAUGACAUUUUUAUAUGCUGCAACCUAGAAGAAACAGCCACCAAUGGACAGGAAUUCGUCACAUUAAGUGGUCUAUCUCUUUCAGUCCAUGCCGACGAAGCAAUACAGAAGCAUCCUCAUGCUGUAAUAACUACAUCUGGCUUUUAUGUUUGUUAAUGGAUUCCCCACCAGCAGCAAAGAACUGUUUCUUUUCCAAUAGCUACUUUUUCUUUUCUUCCUUUCUACUGUUUGCAAAUGUCCUGAUGUUUUUAUGUGCUAUGUUUGGGUGUUUAUCUUGGCAAGAACAAGCAUCUGGAGCGAAGCAUGAAGCACAAGCUUCUCAAGGAUAAGCUGACACCUAAUAAGGAUGAGAACAAUGGAGAUACUAAGAGGCAACCUUUUGGGGUUAAGGAUAUAAACAACAACAUGGCUUAUGAGGCCGAAGAGAGCUUGAGUGGCGGCUUUUGGAUCUUCAAGCCCUGCACUUUCCUGGUGGAGUGGCAGCAAAAUAGUUCAGAGGCUUUAAAGCUACUGCACUUUACAUAGUUAGGAUCAAUUCUUUGUUUUGGUUUGAAAUAAUCCCCAGUUACUCCUAUUUGAUUUAUUCAUAUGAUGGACAUUUUGUCAUGCAAAUAAACAGAAGGCAUAUGUAUUGUUACAAGUGAAGCCAUCCAUACAAUUCGAGAUAUUAAUAAUCCCAUAUGUGGAAUUCAAGAUAUAGAGAAAUGUUAUUCUUCUUCUAAUUGGUUGCUUGACCAAAUGUACUUCAGAUGAUCUUAUUAUUGUUCAAUAUAUAGAGAAAUAUUAUUGUACUUCAUUGUAGUGGAUGAUGUCCAUCCUAAUUAUUGAGAUGAUGGAAGUAUUAUUGAGGAGUUUUGUCUCGGACCGAACAAAACUGCCGAGGAAGAAGGGAUAAAUAAGUCACUCGAUUCAUAUAUAGAAGGGUCUAAAUUCUUACCAUGUGUACUUGCUCAAAUAGAAGAUUAUUGAAAAAUACA